rnacentral:tRNA from 1 species
ACCCAGCUGGCUCAUCGAUAGAGCGUGCGACUUUUGAUCUCAGGGCUGUGGGUUUGAGCCCCAUGUGGAGUG